UGCAUUUGCACAUCAAUUGUCAUUUAGUAGUCGUUGAGAAUUGUUGAAAUGAGGCUUUUAUUUGUUUUCUGCGUGGCCGCAGUUGUAGUGGCCAUGUGUUAUGCUGGCGAACCUAAAAAACCGGCCAAACAGAGUGGCGAUGGUGCACCGGGUGCGCCGGGCAAGAAUGGUGGAGGCGGCGGUGGUGGUGAUGGAGGAAACGGAGGUGGUGGCGGAAAUGGUGGUGGUGGUGACGGAGGUGGCGGCGGUAAUGGUGGUGGCGGCGGUGGCAACGGAGGUGGUGGCGGAAAUGGUGGGGGUGGUAACGGAGGUGGUGGCGGAAAUGGCGGCGGUGGAAACGGUGGCGAUGGUGGCAAAGGUGGAGAGGAUGGCGCUCCUGGUGCUCCAGGAGCUCCAGGUCACUAAUUCUGUUUUCGUGAAUAAAUUCCUUUGAAUAUUGAAAAGUAUGCGUAAGUAUUAUUGGAAAUGUUUGGUACCAAACAAGUCAAUCGCGUACGACGACUUCUAUUAAAUUAAAAAUAUACAACACUACAGCUAGUAAAUUGGCGCUAUAACCGCUUAACCUAUUUUACUAACAAUGAUAUUUACCUAUGUACCUAAGGCUUGUUUUCACUAUGUCUAAUUCAAUGACAUUUGUUACCAAAUAAAUGGAAACACAUUGUAAAAUAGGACUAAA
rnacentral:misc_RNA from 1 species